GUAAUAAUCCUGUAGUCGAAAAUGUUGUCUCUCUUGAGUGGAUCCUGAGUACGACGGAGCACGUGAAAUUCCGUCGGAAUCUGGGAGGACCAUCUCCUAAGGCUAAAUACUCUCUAGUGACCGAUAGUGAACCAGUACCGUGAGGGAAAGGUGAAAAGCACCCCGGAAGGGGAGUGAAAUAGAACCUGAAACCGUGUGCUUACAAGUAGUCAGAGCCCGUUAAUGGGUGAUGGCGUGCCUUUUGUAGAAUGAACCGGCGAGUUACGAUUUGAUGCAAGGUUAAGCAGUAAAUGUGGAGCCGUAGCGAAAGCGAGUCUGAAUAGGGCGUUUAGUAUUUGGUCGUAGACCCGAAACCAGGUGAUCUACCCUUGGUCAGGUUGAAGUUCAGGUAACACUGAAUGGAGGACCGAACCGACUUACGUUGAAAAGUGAGCGGAUGAACUGAGGGUAGCGGAGAAAUUCCAAUCGAACCUGGAGAUAGCUGGUUCUCUCCGAAAUAGCUUUAGGGCUAGCCUCAAGUGAUGAUUAUUGGAGGUAGAGCACUGUUUGGACGAGGGGCCCCUCUCGGGUUACCGAAUUCAGACAAACUCCGAAUGCCAAUUAAUUUAACUUGGGAGUCAGAACAUGGGUGAUAAGGUCCGUGUUCGAAAGGGAAACAGCCCAGACCACCAGCUAAGGUCCCAAAAUAUAUGUUAAGUGGAAAAGGAUGUGGCGUUGCCCAGACAACUAGGAUGUUGGCUUAGAAGCAGCCAUCAUUUAAAGAGUGCGUAAUAGCUCACUAGUCGAGUGACACUGCGCCGAAAAUGUACCGGGGCUAAACAUAUUACCGAAGCUGUGGAUUGUCCUUUGGACAAUGGUAGGAGAGCGUUCUAAGGGCGUUGAAGCAUGAUCGUAAGGACAUGUGGAGCGCUUAGAAGUGAGAAUGCCGGUGUGAGUAGCGAAAGACGGGUGAGAAUCCCGUCCACCGAUUGACUAAGGUUUCCAGAGGAAGGCUCGUCCGCUCUGGGUUAGUCGGGUCCUAAGCUGA
rnacentral:rRNA from 1 species